rnacentral:tRNA from 1 species
UAUUAAGUGGCCGAAAUAUUAUAUAGCGCUAGACUUUUAAUCUAGAAAAUGAUUAUUACUUUAUAAUCCUUAAUUA